GCGGGAGGCGCAGGUCAAAACACUCAGCUCAUCCUGAGCUCUCCAGAACCGAGGGAUGUUUACCAUGAAGCCAUCACAAGGAGACGGGGAAUAAACGCAUCAGCCGGAAUAUAUUUUUUCAUUAUUGAUUUGUUUGCUUUUUUUUUAUACGUUUAAGGUUAUUUUUAUUCUUUUUCCCCCCUAAUUUGUAUUUUUGAUGUCGAGGACAAGAGAGCGUUCCAAACAAACACACUUUAACCUCACUUUAUCUCUCCUGCACUUUUCGUUCCCUGCCGUUACACAUCCAAAUCACCCCGCGUAAAGGACCGGUGGACAUGUGGUGGAAAGUGGGGCUCGUGCUGGUGAUGUGCUCGGGUCUCACGAGCAGCGAAGCCCGGGAGGAGCGCCGGGAUUCGUCUCCGCGCAACGCGAUGCUCAGGGCGCCGGUGGAAACGCUGGACUUUGGCUUCGUGCCGUCCGUGGUGUACGAAACGCACGCGUACUAUGAACCGGGUCCCAUCGGCGUCCUUUUUCACAUGGUCCACGCGUUUCUGUACGUGGUUCAACCCAACCCUUUCCCCAAAGAUCUAAUUGUCAAAAUGGUCCAGCAGAACAUGGGAGGAAUCAAAAAAGAAGAUUACAAAAAGCCAGAGAAUGUUGUAUUAUUACUUCAGGCUAUCUACUAUGAGCUCGGCUUCAUAGUCCUGACAGUGCUGGGGGUGAUAUUUGUGCUGUUAAUGCCGAUAGUGGGCCUGUGUUUCUGUGUGUGCCGCUGCUGUGAGAACUGUGGGGGUGAGAUGCAUCAGAGACAGAAGAAGAACGGCGACUGCCUUCGAGGCUUCUACAUGGCCACACUCAUCGCUACCUCUGUCUUCCUCGCCGUUGGAGUAACGGUUGCCUACACAGCGAACCAGAACAUCACAAAUCAGAUCAAGAGCACCAGACGCUUCGUCAGCACUAACAUAAGAGACCUGAAAUCUUUUGCCAACUACACACCAGCGCAAAUAGACUACCUCUCUGCGCAGUACACAACAGCCAAGAACAAAGUAUUAUCAGACUUAGACAAUAUUGGGACUCUGCUGGGAGGACAGAUUCAUAAUCAGCUGGAGAGAGAAGUGGUGCCUGCUUUAGACAAUGCUCUUCGCAUGACAGCAGCCAUGCGGGAGACCAAAGAGGCGUUAGAGAGUGUGACCACAUCGCUGGAGAUCCUGCAGGAAGGGACAGGCAGACUCCAGAACUCUCUUCAGACUGAACGCGCGUCUCUCUCAAACACACUCAACGACCCGGCCUGCUCUAAUGGAGAUGUAACACACACCUGCAACACCAUCCGUGGAACACUCAGCCAGCUCGCUCUCAACGCUAACUUUCAUGGGUUGCCUGAUGUCGAGGCACCUUUGGCCAAUCUGGAUGCUGUGCUUAAAACAGACCUCAGCAACAUUGUACAGAAGGGCUACUCUUCUUUUAAUGACACCCCAAGGUUGGUCAGUGAACAGACGAAAGGAAUUGUGUCAGCUUUACCCAAAGUAAAAGGGCUGCUGGAUAAGUCCGGUGUGGAGAUAAUUGGUUUCACAAAGAUGUUCCCAGUAGAACCAGCGCUUGAGAACUUCACAAAGUUCCUGACGGAGAGCCAGAAGAACAUUGAAGCGUACUAUCCACAGAUCGACCAGCUGGACUUCUACAGAUGGAUAGGGUGUGUGGUGAUUUGCUGUAUGGUUGUGUUGGUUCUGACCUUUAACUUCCUGGGUCUGCUGUGUGGAUCAUGUGGCUAUGAUAAAAACGCCACCCCCACAACACGUGGCUGUCUGUCAAACACCGGUGGAAACCUGCUCAUGGCUUCUGUUGGCUUCAGCUUCAUUUUCUCCUGGGUGCUCAUGGGAGUGGUCGUCACCACAUUUGUUGUUGGCGGAAACGUAGAGAAGCUUGUGUGUGAGCCGCUGGCUAACAGACAGAUUUUUAAGAUCAUCGACACACCAUAUAUGGUCCAUCCUGCCAAAAAGAACUUCCUUCCUGGUAUGCUGUUUCAAGAUCCGAACAUCGACCUUACCAUUGGCAGUAUGUACAGAGAUUGUUAUGAGAAUAAUGGUUUAUAUUCAGCACUACAACUGGAGACCAACUUCAACUUCAACAAGUUCCUCAAUGCCACAGUGUAUAACCCGGAACUGACCAUGACAUUUAACAGUGUGAAUGUGGAUCUCCAGGGGAUGUUUCUUCUGGAACAGGAGGGCAAGGAUAACCUUAUUGACUUUGCCAACAUAGGCAUUGGAGACAUCGACUAUCAAGCUUAUCUAACUGAGGUGAAUAAAGGAGUGACAGUUGUGGAUCUUUUGUCCUACGCAAAUGAACUCGAAGCUCAAGCUGACCAAAUGCCACGAGGGGCUCUUGAGAAUGCGCUUAAGGGUCAUGCCAGCAGUAUAAGACAGAUCCACAAAGAACAAGUGGUGCCCAUGGAACAGGCUAUGGGCACUCUAAGUCAAAGCAUUAAACUGCUUCAGAAAACAUCCAGAGAACUACCUAUUAAAGUGACAAAUGUCUUGAAUGCCAUCGAGGCAGUAGAGUACCUCAUCGCCAACAAUGCCUCACAUGUGGUCAGACAGGAGACUGAUAAAUUCAUUAAGAAAAUUGUGGGAUAUUUUUCACAAUACACGGAGUGGGUCAAGCACUCUCUGGAAAUGGAGGUCGCCCAGUGCAAGCCCAUCAGCAACAUCAUAGACUCCAUAGAGAUCGUAGCCUGCAGCUUCAUCGUCGACUCGGUGAACACAUUCUGGUUUGGUCUGGGAGGAUGCUGCUUGUUACUCAUUCCCAGCAUCAUCAUGUCGGUAAAACUCGCCAAAUUCUACCGCAGGAUGGACACUGAGGACGUCUAUGAUGAUAGUAUGGAUGUUGUUGUAAGUGGUUAUCAUAAUGAGUCUUUAUAUGGCAUAAACAACCCCGUGAUGAGCAGCUAUCCAUCCUAUAGCACAAUGAGGUGGUAUCCUCGGGCCUCAGCCCCCCCAAGACAGCCUGACUGGUGACACAAACUCACACACACAAACACUUUCACACAGGGUAUGCAGCCAUGUGUGCAUCCUGCAGUGGUACUGAAAACUGGAGCUAAAGAGAGGGAUUCUGAGGACGACAACUGAAGACAGAAAAAAGGGAAUAUAAUCACUGAAAAUGUAAUAAUAAUAACAGUUUAUUCCAGUUUCUAACAACAAUACGUACUCUGACCUUAACUGAAGCAUUUCAAGCAUAGUCUUCAUACAGUUCAUCGUGGUAAACAGCAAUGUAUUCUUUUUAUACACUUUCAACAAGAUUUUGAAAGUUUUGUAUGUAUUUUGUUAAUAUCUGUUUUAUAAAAUGUCCUUUAGACAGUUGUGGGUACAUCUAGAUUUUGUAUUGAUCUUUUUUUCAUUUGAUAUAAAGGGGCAAGAAGGUCUGUGAUAUUGUCUUGUCAGUGUUUGAUCAUGAAAUGGUGUUUCUGAAGCAAACAUCUCAAGGCUGAUGGUCAAAGCAGUUUCUGACGUAUUUACAGUAGCAAGUGAAGUUCUUCAUUUAUCAAUUUAUCUUUUCAGUUCUUCUGUGAAAUGUUACCUUUUUGUACAUUUUAUUGUUCAAUGAAUGAAUUAAGUAUUAGUUUCAGAGAAGUCUUUUAGUAAGAGGAAAUUGAAUGCACUGGAAAGGCUCAAUGUCUCGAAAAACCAAUUAAGCCAAUGUCCGAAAAGACUGCUUGAUCCUAUAUGUUUAAAAUAUCAGUACUUUUGAUACAAGACAAUAAUUACACCACUACAAAAAAAUCACUAUUAUAGAUAAUAAUUUUUUUUUGGUUGUUUCUUGUUCUUGUCUUUGUUUUCUUCUCAGUGUCUUAUGUAUUUCUUUUUUGUGUCUAUUUCCAUACAAGAAACUGAAAAUAGUUUAAUAUGUCCAGUUUUUAAUGUACUGUAAUUUCUUAAAAUACACGUAUCACUACAUCAUACAGUAGUCCUACAAUUCCACAUCAUUUAUUGCAUAAACCAAAGGUUUUUCUCAUAUACCAAAAAAGGUUUGUGAAAGAAAUGUAAACUAAAUCCCAAAUCUGUUAGUGAUACCCACAAAUCCAAACAGUGCGCCGCUGUAUGCAUGUGUUGUUUGGAAGUGGUACAGUACAGAUCCCCAGGGUCUUGUUGUCAGCCGUGUUAUGAGACUCAAAGGCACUUGUACCAAGUGUUUUGGAUUUUUACAAUGUCAAUCCCACUGGAAUUUGGAGGCUGUUAUAAUAAAAACAAUCAGCUCGA